rnacentral:lncRNA from 1 species
AACGCCGAGCCGGCUCCCACCGUCGCUGCGCCUCGGGGGCUGGAGACGCGACCCGCUUUACCGCGACGCGCGGGGGCUGCAGUCCACGGGUCCGAAGGCUUAGCUCUGCGCGCAAAGCGCCGGGAUGCGAACGCGGGAUCUGGAGCUCGUCGGUGCCGAGAGCUGCCAGAGAGUUGGAUUCUGCGUGCAGCUGCCGGACUCGGCCCCAUGUUUUUGCUCUCAGAAAGAGUUGGUGAUGAAGUUUGGGCAGAAAUCCCCUGUCGGCCGUCCGCUCCACGCUUCCCUCGGGGCCGACACUGCCAACCUCUCCGGGCACUGAGGACACCUCUGCGCCCUGGAGCGGUGGGAGGACGCGGAGCGCCGUUCUCUGGCUUCCGACACCCUGCCCGCCCUCUCUAGUGGGUCUGUGGCUGCGCCCUCUCGAAGGAAGUAAUAAAUCUUUCUGACCUUGGGGGUCAGAGGAGACGCUUCAGUUUUCCGGAGGGGUGUGCGGGCGGGACCGUCUUUCCGCUUUACUGGACCUCUGGCCGGGGCUGCUCUUGUUUCAUUGUGCCCCACAUGCGGAGCCCCGAUGCUCUCCGCAUUUCCGCUCGCGGUGCUGCGUCCACUGUGAUUGACGUCCUCUGGAAUUGGGGUGAUGGGGGAGGGGAACGCCCCGUUCUAAUUUGCAGAAAAAUACUUGUCCCGCUUCUUGGUUUUGUAGAUGAGAUCAAAGAACUUGACCCCAAAGGAAACACCGUUGUUGAAAGAAAAUCAUUUUUCAGUUGCUUUAGGUUUAAGUACUUUUGUUUAAGGUUAUGAGGAAAAGCGUCUCUCUCUCCCCCCAACUCCCUCCCUCCCCAAGAACACUAAGCUGUAGCCUCAACUUCAUCUGUAGAAUGGGGACAGUUGUAACAGCCUCCGGAGACUGAACGGUGGUUGAGUAUCAGAGCGCGCACACGAAAGGUUAGACCUGAGUUCAGGCCUCCAAGUGCCGAAAAGGGAAUCUCCGUGGGGCCUGAGGCUCAGCACCCUCGGAUAAACAGAGCUCUCGCUGAUCCGGAGUUUUGUUGCCUCCUGUCCCAGUAGAGUUUUUAGAAGUUACUGCACAAUUAUCUUUGUAGCGUUUCGGGCAGACUUUUCAGAGGACCGUUCUAACAUUAAAAUAUUGCUGUUUGCGCCAUUAUUCUUCCAUGAGUCUUACAGAAUCCCCUGAGUACAAAGACUUGAAAAGUGACUUAACUCGCUUUCCACGGGUUUUUAACUCUCUUACGGAUUUAGUUUCAGGGGAGAAAAAUGUUCAAAAAACUUAUUUAUCCUUGUUUUCCAGAAAAACCCAUAAUGUCACGAGUACAGUUCAGCUUAUUUUUUCUCCUGGGGAGGGGGAUUGGGACAAGGACAGCAGAGCUCAAAUUUUAUAUCCAGCUUUCUCAAAUAAUAUGGCAUUGCCUCUGGAAGUGGGUCGAGACAGGCAAGAAUCCCUGUUAACAGAUGAAGGUGGUAGAGUUUAAUUGAGCGACUCCCCAUCUUUUCCUUUUCUGGAAUCCCCAGCCUCCCUUCGCCUACUCUCUCAAAUGCCCCUGCCCCUUUUUCACCACCUCUUUUACCACGAAAACUAAAAUGACAUUGGUGCAUGAAAAGACUGAUGGGAGAGAGAGGGAAUUGGGGAGGAAAGUAAAUCUCAAUUUUAAUAUUCAACAUGAUUCCAAGAAAAAUAAUUUCUAAUAUUUUUCAUUUAGUUUCUGGCUUUGUGCUUACCCAGAAAAAAACUGAAUUGCAUUAGUCGAUGUAGGGACCCUUUUUAAAAACAAUUGUUUGCAUAGAAAUAAUUCCGUUUGCAAUUUUGUAACACUUUACUGGUGUUGGCAAAAUAGUAAAUCCAUUUGCCAGGUGCCCCCACAGUGCUCAGCUGGCAUAAAUUUACGGGUUCUGGCAUCUCCACCCUCUCCUUGCUUGCAAAUUUUUCCCAUUUUGCAUGGUGUCAUGAUUAAUUCUGAACUUUGUUAUAGCUAAUGACAUCUGAAAACUUCAUAAUGCCUUCCUUCCCGCAUUUGUUUGGAAAUUCCUUUCAUUUUAAUCUACUUAUUUUAGCAUAGUAAUGACCCAGACAUAUAAUAUGUCACAUAAUAAUGUCACUUGCACAAGAGCCAGUCAUGCCACAGGGCUAGCCUUAAUUUCGGCUCACUGGUUUAGUUUGUCACAAUUCCAUCUCCCCCAGGAUGCUCUUUCAGUCUCUGUCUUCUCUGCUGCCUGUUAUGUUCUAUUGGAAACUGUCAGGCCUCUGAGCCAAAGCUAAGCCAUCAUAUCCCCUGUGACCUGCAUGUACACAUCCAGAUGGCUGGUCCUUGCCUUAACUGAUGACAUUCCACUACAAAAGAAGUGAAAAUGGCAGGUCCUGCCUUAACUGAUGACAUUACCUUGUGAAAUUCCUUCUCCUGGCUCAUCCUGGCUCAAAAAGCUCCCCCACUGAGCACCUUGUGAUCCCCCCCUCCACACCUGCCCACCAGAGAACAACCCCCUUUGACUGUAAUUUUCCUUUACCUGCCCAAAUCCUAUAAAACGGCCCCACGCCUAUCUCCCUUCACUGACUCUCUUUUCGGACUCAGCCCGCCUGCACCCAGGUGAUUAAAAAGCUUUAUUGCUCACACAAAGCCUGUUUGGUGGUCUCUUCACACUGAUGCGAGUGAAAGAAACUUGCUGUGGCUUUUGCUUAAUCCUGGACAAAUGUCCAGAGAUCUUCAAGGACUUUCUUCCAGAGUCUGAACUGGGGAAAGAUGCAAGGCUGGGUUACCUGAACAGUUCCCAUUUGGGCCUAUCUGUGUGAAUCCUAGAAGAUUCACCUUUGGAAAAUGUUUGCCCCUGGGCACCAAGAUAGAUUCACUCCCUCAUAUUUUGAACAAAUAUGCAUUUUCAAUAGAACUUGAGAUUAUAGAUUCAGGUUACUCAUAAUCCUUGAUUUAAGAUAUGCUGCCAUUGUUAGUCCAAGUGGCCCUUUUAAAUGUCCUAUGUUUUAAUAUAAUGAAUAUGCAUGAACCCAUUACACAGCCCAAAAACCUCCAAGAGUAACCGCUCUACUUAGUUUAGAAACUGAGAUGAAAUGAUAAAGUUCUAACAGGAAGGAAAAACAACUUGCUUUAACAAUCUCAAAAAGAUACAAGACUACUUAUGGCCGGGCACGGUGGCUCAUGCCUGUAAUCCCAACACUUUGGGAGGCUGAGGUGGGCAUAUCACUUGAGCCUAGGAGCUUGAGACCAACCUGGGCAACAUGGCAAAACCCCAUCUCUACAAAAACUACAAAAAAAUUAGCCAAGUGUGGCAGUGCAUGCCUGUAGUCCCAGCAACUCGGGAGACUGAGAUGGGAGAAUUACCUGACCCCAGGAGGUCAAGGCUGCAGUGAGCCAUAAUGGUGCCACUGCACUCCAA